GGUCCUGUGGCCUAAUGGAUAAGGCGUCGGUCUCCUAAACCAAAGACUGCAGUUUCGAGUCCUGCCAGGAUAG
rnacentral:tRNA from 1 species